rnacentral:rRNA from 1 species
GACGAACCACCCAAACGUUAUUCGGAAUUACUGGGCUUAAAGCGUGCGUAGGCGGCCAUGUAAGUAGGGUGUGAAAUCCCACAGCUCAACUGUGGAACUGCGCUCUAAACUACAUGGCUAGAGGGAUAUAGAGGUGAGCGGAACUGAUGGUGGAGCGGUGAAAUGCGUUGAUAUCAUCAGGAACACCGGAGGCGAAGGCGGCUCACUGGGUAUCUUCUGACGCUGAGGCACGAAAGCUAGGGGAGCAAACAGG